UACAAAGCGCGGUGUGACCAAGCCAGGU
rnacentral:piRNA from 1 species